rnacentral:rRNA from 1 species
GACGAACGCUGGCGGCGUGCUUAACACAUGCAAGUCGAACGGAAAGGCCCUGCUUUUGUGGGGUGCUCGAGUGGCGAACGGGUGAGUAACACGUGAGUAACCUGCCCUUGACUUUGGGAUAACUUCAGGAAACUGGGGCUAAUACCGGAUAGGAGCUCCUGCUGCAUGGUGGGGGUUGGAAAGUUUCGGCGGUUGGGGAUGGACUCGCGGCUUAUAAGCUUGUUGGUGGGGUAGUGGCUUACCAAGGCUUUGACGGGUAGCCGGCCUGAGAGGGUGACCGGCCACAUUGGGACUGGGAUACGGCCCAGACUCCUACGGGAGGCAGCAGUGGGGAAUAUUGCACAAUGGGCGGAAGCCUGAUGCAGCAACGCCGCGUGCGGGAUGACGGCCUUCGGGUUGUAAACCGCUUUCGCCUGUGACGAAGCGUGAGUGACGGUAAUGGGUAAAGAAGCACCGGCUAACUACGUG